AGUGAACGCUGGCGGUAGGCCUAACACAUGCAAGUCGAACGGCAGCACAGGAGAGCUUGCUCUCUGGGUGGCGAGUGGCGGACGGGUGAGGAAUACAUCGGAAUCUACUUUUUCGUGGGGGAUAACGUAGGGAAACUUACGCUAAUACCGCAUACGACCUACGUGUGAAAGCAGGGGAUCUUCGGACCUUGCGCGAUUGAAUGAGCCGAUGUCGGAUUAGCUAGUUGGCGGGGUAAAGGCCCACCAAGGCGACGAGCCGUAGCUGGUCGUGAGAGGAUGAUCAGCCACACUGGAACUGAGACACGAUCCAGACUCCUACGGGAGGCAGCAGUGGGGAAUAUUGGACAAUGGGCGCAAGCCUGAUCCAGCCAUACCGCGUGGGUGAAGAAGGCCUUCGGGUUGUAAAGCCCUUUUGUUGGGAAAGAAAUCCAGCUGGUUAAUACCCGGUUGGGAUGACGGUACCCAAAGAAUAAGCACCGGCUAACUUCGUGCCAGCCGCCGCAGUAA
rnacentral:rRNA from 1 species